UACGUAGGUGGCAAGCGUUGUCCGGAUUUACUGGGCGUAAAGAGCGCGCAGGCGGCCGGAUAAGUCGAAUGUGAAAGCCCCCGGCUCAACUGGGGAGGGUCAUUCGAUACUGUUCGACUCGAAGGCAGGAGAGGGAAGUGGAAUUCCCGGUGUAGUGGUGAAAUGCGUAGAUAUCGGGAGGAACACCAGUGGCGAAGGCGACUUCCUGGCCUGUUCUUGACGCUGAGGCGGCGAAAGCUAGGGGAGCAAACGGGG
rnacentral:rRNA from 1 species